rnacentral:lncRNA from 1 species
UGGGCCCUUGUGCCUGUUAGGCAAGCACUCUACCACUGAGCCACACAGCCAGCCAAAGCCUGGCUGUCAGUGGGGUACAUACAGCUGUAACCCCGGAAAAGAAGGAGAAGCCAAGGAAGCAUUUGGGAGGUGGCUUCGAUGAGGAGCUAUGGUCCCCCUCCUCCACCGUGCAAUCUGUAGAUUCAUUCCCAGGCCAAGAGCUGUUCCCGGCCAGCAAGUCAGAAGCGUUGGCAUGUUUUAUCUGGGCCAGGACAGCCCGCAGGCAGCCCCUGGCCCAGGCCACACUGAAUGCUUUAGUACUGUGAAUGAACCACAGCAGGGAGAUAGGGCCGUGUGGAUCUGUGGACACUAAGCAUUCACGUGGCUGAAGAGCUGAAUGGACAGGAAACACCAGCCUGGGAGGAUGACAGGAUGACCAAAGUUGUCAUAGGCUGCACUGAGAAGCAUCUGCCGCCCUCUGGAGCAGAAUGACCUACCCGCGGCUUUUGUUCUUGUGUCUUUUUACACAAAGAACUGAAGUACAGCUGUUGAGACACGUGCAUCGCCAUGUCUGCAGAGAAGACACCCGGCUACAGCAAGGCAUCCAUCGUCUACCCACGACGGAACCUUUCAGUCCCUAGCCUGGCCUGCUACAUCGUACCAGCCUUGUCUGCCACCUUGUGGCUAAAUGUCACCUCUGCGCUUAGUGACAACAGCUUGGAAGUUGCAGUUGCUGCUAAAAACAAAACAAAAAACAAAACAGUAAGGGAGAGGAUCGUGAGGAGAGAGCUCCGGAGAGCAAGGAAACCUUUCAACGGCUUCUGCUGCGCGCUGGGCACCUGAUACGGAGGCGACUGUGUACUUCCGGCUUCGACCCCCACAACUCCUGAACGUGGAGGAACUGGAGUUCUCACAGGCCGAGGGUGGCGCUAGGAAAUGGUGCGUUUACAUUGUAAAGUUUGAUGGUUUCUUCUCCUAGGGAAGGGGGAAUUAGAUGGAGGAGACAUCCUAGCCCCCACCAAGAGCAUUAGGUAACAGGCGUGUUAGAGAGCAUCUCGGGGUGCGCAUGUGCAUGGGACUCACCAAACGGAAUCUGCAGCACCGUUAAGCAAGGCUUAGCCACAGCUGACCUGAGCUCAAAACCCCACGCAGUCAUUUUCACGGUGGGAGGCAGCCAGAGCUUGCAGCUCAGCAGGAAAAAAAAAAAAUCUGUGUUGACAACCAUAUUGGAGCCUCAACCGUGAGACUUACUGUUGCUACUACACUGUUAUGUAAUCUUACACACCAAAACGUGAUUGGAUUUCAGACCCACACUUGACAGACCAUUUCUUAUGUCUGGCCUUGCUUGUAGCUCUAAUCGGAAACCAGACGCAGACAGUGACACGGGACUAUGGCCGGAGACCAUAUGGUGUGGGGGGCUUCCCGCUGCUUAGGAUGCUAAAAGUCCUCACAUUUCCCAAACCUGUCCAUCUGCUGUUUCAUCUGCAGUUACGUCCACUGGCGUGACUUCAACCAGCUCGCACCUACUUAGAAAAGCAUAUGUCUAAAGUUAUGAAAUGCGAUUUACGCGAACUGGUUAUACAUAGGCCGUGUGAGCCUUGAAAGAGAAACUUUCCGCAGAACAAAACCCAGCUAUAGAGGAUGUUCUCACUGGGACAGCCGGGAAAGACUGAGUCACCCGAAGGUCUCAAGGACCGUUAUGAUGGCAUGGCCUGCAGCGGAGGAACCAAUGGAACACAAAGCGGUAAAUCAAAGCGAUAUCAUCAAAUGAUAUCAUCAAACACGCCAGUGCGCUCAACUCUCUGAUGACAACAUUCUACUGUGAACCAGCAGAUACGGAGCAGUGGACCAAGCAGAUUAGAAAUUCAUGGAGUUUACAUGCCUGGUUUACAUAGUAAGUUCUAGGAUUGUUACACAGAGAGACUCUGUCUCCAAGCCAACCAACCAAAUAAAUAUUUUUCUUUAAUAGCUUUU